CGGUUAAACUAGAGGGCCUAGUCAUAUUAUUAAGGUAAAAAGGUGGUUAAACGUUGAGUAUUAUCUAUUGGCUAUAUAAACUACAAUAUUAGAGGUGUAAUUCGUGUAUUGGGUUAAUGGGAGAAUCUAAGAUAGUCAUUUUGUUGAGGCCACUACAGCUUUGAGGGAAACUGGGAUCUGGUACCCCAUUAUUCUUAGCUGUAAAUAGGCAUAACUCGGAGCUUACCGGAGUACUACGAACAAUUAGUUUAAAACUCAAAGGGCUUGGCGGUGUUUUAGACCUAUUAGGGGAACCUGUUUCGUAAUCGAUGAUCCGCGUUAUACCUUACCCCUUAUUGCAAUCAGCCUGUACACCGUUGUCAUCAGGUAACUUUUUAGAUUAAUAAAAGUUAGCGAUAGAACCUAUCAUUAGUUCUUAUGUCAAAUCAAGGUGCAGCUUACGAAGGGGGAGGGAUGGGUUACAAUUAAAAUUUAUAAAACGGAUCAGGUAAUGAAAUUUGCUUGUGAAGGUGGACUUAAAAGUAAAGCUAUCUAUAAAAAUAGUUUGAAUGUGGCUCUGGAAUGUGUACAAACC
rnacentral:rRNA from 1 species